GCCGUUUCUAAAAUAAUAAUAAUAAUAGUAAUAAUAAUAAUAAUGAUAGAUAAUUAUACAAUCGACAAUAAUUAUUAUAUACUAGCAGAUUUGGAAACAUAUAUAAUUAUUAUACUACUAAAUAACAAAUAAUAAUAAUUAUAUUAAUUAAUAAUAUAUUAAUUUCUUAGAAAACCUUCUGGCAAAUAGGUGAUCAAUUAAUAAAUAACCCUCUGGCAGCGAAAGGGUUAAAACAUCUUAGCAUUACUGGAGGUAAAAAAAUAGCACGUAAUGAUGAUGAUGAUCAAUUUGAUUUAUUUCUUGAUGUGCGUGUUCUCCGCAUGCGGACUUUUCUGUGAUAAGCCAUGUAAAGUAUGUCCGAAAUAUACUAACGGAAUUUCCAAAUCAGACAAUUUCACAACAACUGUCAAUGUUCCAGCAGAAUGCACCAAUGGAACUUUCAGCUGGCAUUAUCCCAAAGGACGCCACCAUGCUACAUUUUCAAAAUGUGAAAAUGCUGAGAAGAACUAUCUGUAUAAGAGACAUUCUAGGUGGCGCUUUCUUCAAUAUAACAGAAAAGGCUACGAAUGAACGUCUGGAGCCAUUUGAUGAUA